CAGUGUGAAGUAAUUUCAUGAAAGGCCGAAUAGGGUCACAAUGAAAGUAUUUAAACAUUGUCCACCAAAUAAAGCAUGAAAAAAUAAUUUAUAUGUUGUAUAUUUGACAAAAUAGAUUUUCCGAAGUUCCAGCCUGCAAAUGGAGGAACCAGGAAAUGAUACGUCACGUGGAGAACAGUGAUGGCAGAGCUCCAUACAACCGAGAUGCAAAGCAUUUCAAACAGUGAUUCAAACAGCGAUCCAAGCGAUCGAUUGCAAGUGAGUAUAUCUAAGUUUUUGAAGAGUUGAGGGAAGAAGAGGAGGUUGGAAUUUUACAUGUUGGACCUUACAUGUACGAGCCAGACGCUAAUCAGGAUGCAAACAAUGUGCCCGGACGACCUGACAUGGAAUGGAGACAAGACCCAUCGAGAUUACAAGAUUGGUGUACUUGUGGUAAAUGCCAGCAAAUGCCUACAGCAGUUGAAUGUGCUUGCUGCCAUGAAAUUCAAGAAGUAGUGACUGUAUGUCGACAAGGAGAGGAACACUUCAAUCAGGUGCUGGACUGCAUCACCGACCAUCCUGGACUCAAUGCUGUGUGCCUAGACCCAUAUGGAUGACAGGUGGGAUGGAUGACCAACAAGCAGCAGUACAAAGGCAGGGCAUUUGAUGGGUCACAGGAAUCGCUGGUGCUGGAAGUUUCUUGGUCAGGACAACCGUGUUGUGCUCCCAGCACGCACUGUGUCUUGUAUCAGGGCACAUUUUCCAUCAACAGGAGAAGAGGAGUCAGCUGUAUUCAAAGGGUUUUCGAGUUUCACAGAGAAAUGUUCCAGAACUGUGAUUUGGAUUGGUUUUAGAGUUGUUAAUGUGGACAUGUUGUCUAUCAUAACAAAAUACUGUAAUAAAAAUAAACAAAUGAGGACAACUGAA